GGUUCCUUCUCGCGCUCCAGCUGUUGAACCUGCUUGCCGCCUGCUUGGCUGUCUCGUGUGAUGUGGCUCCCUCGUUCUCUUUACCCAUCCCGAUACCCACUCCCUCCCAGGCGUUGGAGGGACCGCUCGACCAGGGCCUCUUGCUUGGGCUUUCGGUCGCUCCUCUCUCCAUCCCAAACUUACCUUGUAUUUGUGUGUAUGUAUUUUAUUUAUCGUGAAAAAUUACUCUGUGCCUCUGUUCCUUUCCCCCACUCUGUUCUUAACCUUCUUGUUUCUCUCUCGCGCGUUUUCUGUGCGCCUGAGCGGGAUCCCUUCUAGUCGUGCCUGUUGUUCAGGACAUGGGAAACCCAGACCCCUCAGAGGAGACUGCACUCUCCCUCUCAGGGCCCUGGAGGGAGGCAACCUCAGAGAAGAGCGCACCUCGGAGGCUGCUGAAAGGCUGGGGUCACGGGGCUGAUCUUGCUGAGCCCCUCCUGAGAGAAGGCUGUGAGAGUGGAGCGACUAGAGCCGGGCUUUGCACCUGUAUAGACGGUCGCUGCGCCCCCAAUCGCCAGAGCUUUGCGGGGUCAGAUGUGACAAGAACCCAGCCUGGGCAGCUGGAUCUCAGCGGGCGGGCGCGCCUCGGCCUGGGGCCGGGAGCUCUGGGCUUCCUUGGUCAGCGUCCCAGAGCUCUCGCCCGACUGACUUGAGGGACGCUUGCUUGCCUGAUUGACCUCUUUAAGGAAAAAAGAAAAAAGGGGGGGUGGGGGAGGUGGCACAGUGGAACUAAGAGCCGGGCCUUCCAGUCGGUUGCUGUGUUUGGCUUCAGGAAGAGUUCUUCCUGUAGUUCAACUUGCUAUUGGCCGGAGUCCCUCCAACUUCUGUUUACUGCCCGGUCCGGUUGCGGAGCCUGCCGGUCGCGCGAAUUGAUUUAACCCGAGGCAGGCGCGGCGGCAGCGCUGGGUGCAUGGUCACUGUUUGCUGGAGAUCUUGAGCCCCAGGUAUUUGGACAGGCCAAGGGCUAAUUGACCCAGAGACGCCAAACAGUGGGGCUGGCGCGACGCGGCGGGCAGGGCUAAUGACAGCACCUGCAGUGAGAGGGAGCUCAAAGUUUCUGGCACUUUGAGUUUCCUGGGGAUAAAAGUGGGACCGGACAGGACUGAGGAGAAUCGGUGUCUGCCGCGGCCAAGGGGAGGCUUUUGGAGUGGCAGGAAGAUUUCCGGAACCAUCCAGGGCUGGUGGUGGGAGCGUGGGAGGCAGUUCGAGGAGAUAAAAGCCUCCGGGACUGGCGAUAGGGAGAGCUUUAGGCCCCCGGAGGGUGUCCUUCUGACCUCACCAAGAAAACAGUGCGCGGUAGUUUUCCCGCUCCGCCCCCGCCAUAACCCCCACCCCCCGCCUAGUAAAUAACAAGUUACAGUCAUUGAGCCUUUCAAAAUGACCUUCGAAAGGCACUGUGCGACAUUUGUGCAGGCCGUUCGCACCCUCCCAAUUACUUCGAAAUUCUUCAUGCAUACCAGGUCCCGCGCUCCACCACCUCAAGAAUCACACCAACUUGGACUUGAGAUGCCAGGAGGCCUCUUAGAUACAUCCCUUUUCAUCUCCCUCCGCACCCCGAGUCCCUUCAUAUUUUCCCUCAAUGGGUUGAUUAUGCACAUUGACCCAUUCAAAAGCAGUUGCGACUGACACGCAGGCUUAGCCGAGAGGAAUUUCUACGAGGCGACCUACUGGGGGCUGUCUGGUUCAGCCCUGCCGCUGGGGGACCCAGCUCCGAGUCCGCAGCAAUUUGGUAUUAACUGUGCGGCUCCGGGUCCAGCUAUGCCUAAAAGCCCUUUUCAGAAUUUCUGCAAGGAAUGUAAUCCAAAUUAGUUCUGCAGCUGUCCUCUUCCUCGUCUCAGGCGACACCAGCUCGCGCCCUUGCUAGUCUCUUCUCCUUUCCCUGGGCGAAUCGUCAGACCCACAAGUGAGCCCAUUUAGAGCGCGAGGAUUAGCGUGCUAUUGUUGUUCCGUGUGUGAGUGACUCUGUACUUGAAAUUCUGGGGGCACAAAAGCGAGCCUCACUUGUUCAAAACACAAAGUGAUCUAGAUGAAAGGGCCGCACAAAGGAAAGCUCUCGGGUGCAUCCCUGGCAUAAUUGCAACACGCAUACUAAGGUGAUCCUUUGGAAACUGUAAAUGCCCCCGGGGACUUUUUUUUUUUUUUUUUUUCAGUUCUCCUCCACCUGGCAGGGAAAGUUUAGCUGGUUUUAACGUAGUGCUAUUAUAAAAACAAGUUGCUCUCUGGGGUGUGUGGCGCUGUAUGUUUGUGCCUGCGUAUGUGUGUGGCUGUGUUUUCCCAAGUAAAUACGUAUCGCGCGUCUCCCCUCUCUCGGUUAGCAGUCAGUAGCAGUUUGGAGGAGUUUGUUUUGGUCCAAAUGAGAAAUUAAGUGCGGAUAAGUAAACUAAGCUGCCAGAGGGCGACAAGAUGUUGAGUGAAUUGCUUUUAGAUGAAACAAAUUAAGGAAACGAGGGAAGACAAUCUGCUUCUCGCAUUAUUAGACACGCUUGGAGUUCAGGGGAAAGUGGCAUAUUUUUGAAAUGCUAAUUUUUUAAGCAGAAGGAAUGCACCUUAUUUACUGCUCUAUGUGAACAGAAUAAAAUUGUAGGGUGGGGGAUUCUGUUAUCUAGAUAUUUAUUAGAAAAAUGUAACAAGAGAUUUUUUUAAAAAAAUGGACUUGGGAAAAAAUCAGCUUUAGAGGAUUUUUUUUUUUUUUAAUUCUGAAGGACUUUGUCUCAUUUCUAGUGAUUCAUUUUAUCUGCAACAUUAUAGCCAAAGGCCAUUUAUAUGGCAAUUAUAAAGCCUUUACCACUCUAAGAAAUGCUUCUAAAAUUUGUCGUCUUCUUUUGAUGGGAAAAUAUCAAUAUUACCUUUGUAUUGAAAUAAAAUAUAUAAUGGUAUUGAAGUGUCACUCUUGCAGACAUUAAUAAAUAUGUGAUGAACAAAUAGAGUUCCCAUUUCUUAUUUGCAGGGAACCCAGUCCAGCUUUCAUUUUUAUAAAAGAACAUCAUCUUUCCUAUAUAUAUUAAAGCUAUAUUAUUGUACCUCCAAAUUUAGGGUUGAUUUUUACAUAUGCAAAGAAAAUGUCCUAAAACUUAAAUGGCACAAAAAGAUGUUAAAUAUAUUUUCAAAUAGCAUCAGUCCUUUUUUUUCUUACGUGUGUUUACUUCAAGCACAGGCAUGAAUACACUAUUCCCUAUCUUCUUUUAAUUUGAAAUUCUUAUAUAUGUAAAAGAGCUUUGUACAAGAAGGUAUUUUUCUCUUCAGGAUACUGCUAAAUAAAUUAAUACCUAUUAUAACUGUAAAUUAGUUGAAAAUGCUGUUACUUUGUAUUGUUAUGAUGAAAUGGAAUAACUGGUUGUGUCAUGGUUCCUAUUUUUCCCCCUUAAAUUCAACUGCCCUUAUUUCAAUCAUGCAUGCAUAGAAAGUCAUUUUUUUUGAAAAUCAAGGCACUUAUGGAGCUAUAUAUAUAUAUAUAUAUAUAUAUAUAUAUAUAUAUAUAUUUCAUUUAGUCACUGGAAAUGUGUCUUAAUUAAGAAAUUACAUUAGAAUAUUUACCAAGGCAUGUACUUCAUGGAAGAUUUAUGUGUUUUUUUUUUCUAACUUGAACACAGUAAGUUAGCAUUGGCUGAUUUUUAGAGUUUGCAUUUAUUUGAUGGAAAAUCAUAUUUCCUCCUUAAAGUGGAUUCAAUUAUUUAGUAUUCAUGAGCUUUCAUCCCUUUGGUUCUUAAAUAGAAGUACUAUUUAUCUUCUGUCUUUUGCAUUCACCCUUUCCAUUACUAUAGAUUCUUUACAUCUUAUUAUUUAUUAAGUUUACACAUGUGAAUAUAUAUUUUCCUUUCUACCACUAAGUGCAUUCAUUUUUUGUGUGUCUUUCCCAGCAACCUGCCACUCAGCCACUGCAGGAGGAGUCCUCUGAGCCAGUUUUCAUUCUCUCUUUCUGAUAAAUCUGAUAUGGCUGGUUGGCUGAACAAUUGCAAGCCAUUCCAUUGCUCAGAUUUAUUCCUGAAAGAAAAUAAAACGGCAUCGAUCCAAGAUCACUAGCACAUCUUAAAAGCCCUUACUCCAAGGCCAAAUCUUUCCAGAGAAAAGUUCCUCUGUACCAGUUCUCUCUCUUACUUCCCUCCUCUUGACCAAGGAAAGAAGGUGGACAGCUGUCAUUUGAAAAAUGCUAGUGAUGCAUGGAAUUGUGCUCUUUCUAUGUAUUUUCUGAAACAUACUGAUUAAAGCCAUCUUGAGAUUAAUGGCUAUGUAAGGUGAACAUUUUCUGCAAUAAGUUGAAUUAGGAUGACUUGAAUUAUUGCAGUGCUACAAAGUGAUGUCAUUUUUGUAUUAUGUCAAAUGAGUUAUUGAGAAGAUUUAGCAUAUAUUUUAAAAAUAGCAGUAAGUUUUGUCUUUAUUGUGUCCUGUGGCUGUUGGAUGUCCAUGUGUGAUUUGUAAAAUACCUAAAGCAUAAAUGAAGCAAAUCAACAAAGAGGAAGUUCUGUUACUUCCAAACUUGUUCAUGUUUGCUUUGUUUAACUUCAUCCUUUUGAGAGAUACUGCUUUUAUAGAGGUGUUAAUGUUUACAUUGAAAUUAGCCCAUAUAUGUUCAAGUCUACAAAAAUUGACAAGACUAUUUUGCUAUUGUCUUUACAAUGAUCCACUGAAUAUGCCAUGGAGGAUAGAAGUUAAUACUAUUACCAACUUUUCUACAAAUUAUAUUAUCAUUUUAGAGAUGUUCUAUUAUGUUAACAUAUCACCAUUUAGAAUCAAAUCACAUUAUUUAUCUAAUACUAAUAUUCUGAAGUAUUAUAACAUUGGGCAGAAUAAAUCCUUACUUUACAUGAUUUCUAAGACCGCUAUCAAGUGAAGUUUACAGUUUAUAAUGAAAGACACUUGAUUUCCUAUUUAUUUUGAGUAAAAAGAUCUUAGACCAAUGUUGAAACUAUAGCUCUUCUACAUAACUUGAAGGAGACCUUAGCAGACUGUUUUGUGGUUAUGUGCAUCACAGGACACAGCCAUGUGGUUUAUAUUAGGAUUUCUACAUUCUAGGGACAGUUCUUCCAAAUGCUUCUUAAUACCUUAAGCAACUCACUCCAUCUCUUUGUGACUUUCCUGGUCUUCCUGGUGGGGGGCAGCAGUGGGGGAGAAUGUAAGUAAUUCACUGUUUUUCCACUGUAUAACAGUUUUCAGAAAAAAAAAAGUUUAAAAUCUGUGAUAAUAAGACACAUUCCAGUAACAAGUUAAUUGUUUUCAUACAUGUAAUUCAAAUUGCUCUAUAUUUUGAAACAUGUACAUAUGUUAAUAAACAUAACAUAAACUUUCUAGCAGGCCAUCUCUAUCAGAAAUGUAUGGCUAAAGAAAUAAAGAGAUCAUUGACUGUACACCAUUUGUAUUUAAAGACUAUUUCCUAAAAAUAUUACUUUUCAGAAUUGUUCUAUGGUCUCUUUAGAUUUCAUUGUACACUUUCCCCCCUCUGAGUUGUUGGUAAUUCUGACAUGUUUUAUUAAAUAGAUUGACCCAUUUUUCCAUGCUUUAAUAAAAAGCUUUAAAGACCCUUUCUUCAUAUUUGGUACUUAAACUAGUGCUUUGUAGUUUGACAAAGAAGAGAUCUAUCUCAUUUGAUGACAGUUGAAAAUGAAGAUGUUUUGGGAACUAAAGAGGUCCUUUUUUUUUUUUUUUUUUUGACAAUGUAAUAAGUUCAUAGUUAUUUUUAUUUUGUAAAAGUGACUGCUCUACAUUCCCAUCAUUUUGCACAACUCCAGGGGGCAGUAGCCACAUAUAGUUUAAUAGAAAUGGGGCAUGCCUGUACUGUGGGUAGUGUGGCAGCAGACCUGCUGGUGUGUGCUAGUGAAUAAAGCACCAAAGUAAACAUUAGGAGAUCUGGAUUCUGGCACAAUCACUUGCGGUAUGAUCUUGGGAUAGACUCCUUGCCUCUGUCUCAAUUUACUCAUCUCUAUUAAUUUAGCUAAAAAUUGUAUCUAAAUUAUUACCAUCCUGAAUAUUCUAAUGAUUCAGUUAGAGAGAAAAAUGGUGCUUAGACAUUUUAGGGGAAAAAUGCUUUGGUUUUGAAUUAUUUUUGUAAGUGGACCUCUUUUUUUUCAAGUGAAUUCAUACAUGUAGUCGAGUAUGGAAAACACGCUUUUACCUCCUUUUGGGUCAAAGGAAAUCUGCUUUUGUUAAAGCUGCAGAGAGAGGCCAGCUUUGUGGCCCCUGCUUUUGGGCCUUUGACAUUUUCCCACUUUGUUCCACUGCCCCCUCUACACACUUGCACUGGCUUUACCCAUGUAAAGUCUAGCACCAUUUAGAAGGUACUGAUCUAGUCUAGUCCUCUUCAUUUCUAAGUGAUGUGACUAGAAGCCAGCUGGGCAGUUAAGUGAAAUAAUUUAGUGGCAGCUCCUGCCCAGUUGUUGUUUUCUACAAAAUGCAUGGAAGUACUUGAAAAGUCAUAGCCUUUUAAAGGAUAAAUAAUAGGUUGUUUUAAAAGACAAUUGUAAAAAUUGAGAUAUAUUGGAUUCACAGGCCUAAUUAGUGUACCGUAUAGUUCAUUUCAAAGGGAAGACUGUGAAUCAUCAUUAUCAUAUUUAAUUUAUUUUUAGGACAUAAUCAUUAAUUGCAUUUUAAAAUUAUGACAUAUUGAAAAAGUAAGAAAUGGAGCACUUUUUGCUAACUGCAAUGUCUUUACCUGGUUAAGCCUAUUUUGGACAUAGAAUUUUGACCUUAAAAAUAACAUACAAAGCCAGGCACUAUGGUGCACACCUAUAAUACCAGUGACUCAGGAGGCUGAGGGAGGAGGAUCUCGAGUUCAAAGCCAGCCUCAGCAAAAAAGGAGGCACUGAGCAACUCAGUGAGACCCUGUCUCUAAAUAAAAUACAGAAUAGGGCUGGGGAUGUAGCUCAGUGUCCAAGUGCCCUGAGUUCAAUCCCUGGUACUGCCUCCCCCCCCCAAAAAAAAAAAAAAAAACAUAUAAGCAUCCCAUAUUAGUGUGUGAUAUAAUAGAACUAGAUUUUUUUAACCUGAGACUUUAUGAAGAUGACUACAUAGUAGAGAAUGAUUGUUUCCCUAAUCCAGAAUAAGUUAUAUAUGUACUUAAAAUGGAUUAUAAAGGGUAACUGGUUAAUUCCUCAUUAUUACUUAGCUGGUGCAGACUAUUUAUCAGUAAAACCAAGGGAAUACUUGUCUAGGCCCAUCCUUGAAUCUAAGAUUCUUUAUCAUUUCUACUCUCUUUGUUGAUCCCUCUUAUUUCUUCAGGUCCCCAUUAAACAUAGUUGCAUUCUUUGAAUAAAUAUAUAAUCAAAGCUUUAAGCACCAAGACUUUAUGAAUUUAUUUUUAUGUCACUUUUGCCUUCCUCUAGUUGGAGUCUGCAAGAUACUUCCAGUGUCCCUUGUGAUUUGGCAAUGCAGUUGAUCCAGCCUUAACGCUGUCUAGUCAUGGCUGAGUUCCCUCAAGUGUCUGUGCUUUCUUGGGCAUGAUAGUAUUCUCAUGCACCCUAUUGACAGAGGGAGAUUGGAAACUCGUUUUGGCAGGGAGAAUCACUCCCUGUUAGGAAAUGGAGAUGAAAAUGGCUCCCCCCAUAAAAGAUUAACGUAGAUACCAUCGAACUUUGGGCCACAUCAUUAAACCUCUCCCUGGAGAAGAGGUUCACCGUCAUUACUCUAAAUCAUAUUAUUUCCAAUAUCGUAGAGGUCACUGAAGCAUACUAAAUACCAAUAAGAACAUGUGAGAUCCAGUUUCUGAAUCCAGGGAGUUAAAGAAAUAGAAAUCAAGGCCAUAAGAGUGUGUGUGUGAGAGUGUGCUAAGUCUACACAGCUUCCCACUUUGAAACAUAGUUUAAAGAUGUUUAAAGAGGAGAAAAUGAAUGAUGCAAUAACCACUCAUUUAUUUUCCAGAAAGAUCAGACUUGUAAACCACCAGUUUCACUUGCUAAAUCUUUAUUACUCUUCUGACCUUUACUUAUAUCUGUUUUCAUGUGCAUCUGGUAUAAGUGCAUAUCCAAGUGUUAACCCUUUAGAAUACAAUAGGGAUCAUAUACCUGCCUUCAAAAAACACAUCUGCUGGUUUUCUAGCUUUAACUGAGUCUAUCUCAUGGCUGCUUAGGACUGAAGAAACAAUGGAAACUGAGGCUGCAGGGUCUGUGACUGCAUCUAGUAGGGCUUAGACAAUAGCUUAUGCAGUCCUCUCUUUCAGGAUGGGUCCCCCAUCACUAGCAGGGGGUGUAUAAUAGAGGUCAUGAAUGGCACUGACUAUUUUGCUCUUGACAAACUCUCCUUUUGCAAAAAUCUUUGUUUGUCAUCAUUUGCUCUUCAUCCCUGUAGGCUUAAAGAUUAUGAGAAUAUGAGUUUUCUUUCUAUAGGGACCUAUGAAAACCAAAUAAAAAUAAAAUAAUGAUUUUUUUUUUAGACCUACACUUGUUUUUUUAGGAAUUCCUUUGAUUGUUUUGUCUACAACUACAGCAGGUAAACAAGUUAAUUCAUUUUAAAGAAAACUGACGGCCUGGGAUAUUAAAAUCUUCUCCCUAAGAUUGUUUACAAAGUCUUAUAAUCCCUUAGAUUCUUCAGUGCAGGAGUAUUGCAAGCUCCUCUUUACUACCUUCUGUGUUACCUGUCCUCUACUUCUAAGACCUCCAUUCCUGUCACUGCCAGAUGAUCCUCUCUACUAUACUACAUUUAUUGUCUAAAAUAUUCAGUGGACCCCACUGUGAAGUCAGAACCUGCUAAAGUCAUUGUCAAAUUUUUUAGUGUGGCCUUAGAGUCUAAGAUGUCUUCUGUGUAAGCACUAGGUUGAUUAGUGAAUGUUCUAUGACUAUACAAUGCUCAAUGUCUUUACUUGUACUGAUUCCUUUUUCUGAAUUCAUAGCUUGCUUGGUAUCUCUGCCUGACCAGACUGUUGAAUCUGUUAAGUUUUCCUUUGGAUUAUGCCUCUUCAUUACAUCUGCCUUCACCGAUUAUUGUAGCCUAUAAUCCUUAUCAAUAUCACUACCAUUUACUUAAUCUAAACUGUCCUAUUAUUUUCACUCUUCAAGUGAGAUUUUGUCCUCUGUUGGAGACUAAUGUGGUACCCACAUACAUAGUAAGCACUUUAAAAAUAUUUUUUAAAUGAAAGAAUAACAUACAUUUGCCAGAACAAUUUUAAGCUCAUUCAUGGAUAGUUAUUAUUUGUAAUUAAACCAUAUAGUGUACAAAGUAAGCUCCUCUAAAACAUAAUUAUAGAAUUCUUAAUAAUAGAUAUUAGGCAUGUUUACCCUGGGAAUUUCUUUAGUUGCUUUCUUGAGCUUCCUAGGGUAUUUCUUCAAAUGGAGUGUUUCCAAGACUAUAGCAUUUGUCCCCAUGCCCAUUUUUAGUGUGCUUAUAAUAUGGUACAAAGUAUUUCUGUUGGUUUUAUUUUUGGCAAGGCAAAUAAAUGUGAAUACCAUUCCUAAAUGUAACUGUGUUAUAGUCUACUAUUUUUAUAAUAUGGCCAUUGUAUUACUUUAUCUUAUCUCCCAUUUGAAAAUUUUAAUUGAUUUAAAUAAUAAGCAUUUUUUGACCCCUCAGGACCAUGUUAGGAACUAAGGAAGGGAUACAAAAAUAUCAAGAUGCCAUUUUUUUUUGUUUUAAAAAGGCAUCGACAAGACCGAUAAGAUACAAUAUAAAAAUGUUAUUAAGUGAUUUUGCAAAUUCUUGGGAGAAAUAUUUGCCUUUAGAGAAAUGCUAGUAUUUCAUGACAAAAAGGAUUCCAGACAGAAUCUAGUAUUUUCUAUUCCUGAAUAUAUGUGAUAAUACAACUUUUUAUAACUAAGAUUUCUCAGCAUCUUAAAAUAGACAACUAAACAUAUCCUUACCACUUUAUAAAACCCUAUAAAGGAAGCAUUUGCAGUGUAACUGAACAGAGAGGUGAUGGGGAUUCUCUUAGCUGCUCUUUUAGAUGAUUCUCUCUGCAUUCUAAAAAUUGGUGAAAUGGUUGUAGUAUUUAUAGAGUCAGACUCUACCAGGAAAAUGUUGAUCUAGCUAUUUUUUCUCAGGUUAUCAGAUUCUAAGCAACUGUCAAUCUAUCUGGGCCACUAGGGUGCACUCAUUGUAUCUUAGUUUAUAAUUGCCUGAAAGAGUUAAUGUAACUUUUCAACUGUCUGCAGAGCAAUCUAGUAAUGAAAGAACCAAGCAUGGAGAUGUUGACAUCUCUCUUCUAAGGUUCUUUUAAAUUUUUCUUGAUUUUGUUGUUGUUGUUGUUUUGCUUGAAGAAUCCAUGAGCAGGAUGUUUGGGUCAGGGAUUGUUGUUCUACUUUGUAGAUGAGGAAAUAGAAAUGUAAAGGAGUAAGUCUGACAGGUGUAUCAGUCUAGUGUAUUUAUGCAUGUGUGCCCUGUCCUGAGAGCCAGCUGGCUUGGCCUUCUGCUUGUCAGCCUCUUGUGUGCCAUCCUCACAGCUGCAAAAGCUAGUGAUGCUUCCCAAAGGCAUGACUUCUCUACUGUACCUGCCCAAUGAGCAGAAAAGCCAUGUUUAGCACACCAGACUCUUCUGCCUUCAGGUCAGCAGCUCUUUUUGCUUUCCUGUUUGUCUAAUAAAUCUAUCAGUAAGGAGUCCUGUUUAAGGUCAGUCUGUAUUUUCCCUCCUCCCUUGUAUUCUCUACAUCUUUCUCUCUCUUUGCAUUGUGUAUGUUAAGGAAACCAUCACACAGCCAUUUUUUUUUCUUUUCCAGAAAACUUCAAAGCAGGGUCUUUUGCAAGAUUUUUGGACCUGCCUUUAUAUAGUUUGGGGAAACUAUUUAAAAUUUUUCUUGAGAUAGAAAUACAAGUUAGGUAAAGGUCCUUGGAAAUUGUCGAUGCAGCAGAGGGUCUCUGAAGCUGAAGCCUUUUAAAAAACAUUAUGGUAAAUCUGCCUAUGUUUGAAAAUUUUACUUUUUAGGAAGUAAUAUUGCCCUUUUAACUAUGAAGUUUGGGUGUCAUUACAUAAUUUUCUCCUUAAAUGUAUAGAGUUACUGUCUCUUAUUAAUGUAAAAGAAUGCAUUUCUUCAAGAAGAAACUUAUUAUAUGCCAUGAAAGCAAACCAUGAAGGACUUCAGUAUGUCUUUGUGUAAAAUAAUGUACCGCAUAGAGAUAAUUUUCAGAAUAUUUUGUAAGUACAAACAUCUGGUUUUUGACAUCAAAUUUCAAAAUGGGUCAUGUGAUAAUGUCUCUUACACAAGUUUGUGGUUUUUUUUAGUUGUAAAUGGACACAAUAUCUUUAUUUUAUUUGUUUAAUGUGGUGCAUAGGAUCGAACCCAGGGUCUCGCACGUGCUAGGUGAGCACUCUAUCGCUGAACCACAACCUCAGCCCUGUGAUUUUAAUAUUGGGAUGUGACUGAAAGGAGUUGUGCUGGUUCUGGAAUGUAACAGCUAUGUUGUUAAGAUCCUAUUCCCUAAAAUGUAGCUCAUUAGAUUUUUGAUCAUUUGUUCUUUAGUAUGACUAAAAGUCUAUCUUUGACUUUUACCCUCUGGCUAAGUUAAAUGUGGCCAUUUUAGCUACAAUUGACAUUAUUACUAGCAGUGAAUUAAACAAUGCAUCUAAAUUAAAAUCAGUACUGAGCACAGAUCUUUGGUGAUAUUUUUAAGUAAUAUAUUAACACAUUUGAGAAACAAUAAAAAGAUUAGCAUUUCAAGGCAUACUUUUACUAUGUAAAAAUAUCAGCUAAAUAGUUAAUAUUUCCCAGUUGUUAACUCAAAAUUAGCAUCCCAUUGUCCCUGGUGAUAUAUUGAAACCUCUAAGAAUGUACUUGGAAUUAAUGGAAACUGAGGUGAUUGGUAUUCAGAUAUAAUGCCUUAGUGGACUUUUUUCUUUCUUUCUUUUAAGUACAAGAUGAAAAUUGAAAGUAUGAAAGGCUUUGAGAUAAAUGGAAAUAGACAAAACAUUUUAUGCAACUGUUGGUGAAAGGGGCAUUCAUUAUUUUUGCUGAGCGUACUCUAUUGCUUGUGGACAGAAUUAGCACACAUAAGCCAGAGAAAGAGAUAAGACAAACAGAAUGGCAUGUAGCUAAUUUUGUUUAGCAAAUUUAGAUCUGUUGCAUGCUAUUUCACUCCUACAAACUGACUCUGUCUUUCUUUGAAAGGUACAGAUGAAGUUUGUCUCCCACAUCUUAACAGCUUUCACUCAAUAUUUAUAGACUACAUAAAAAUAAAUUUCUCUAAGUACCAUAUUUCUCACUGACAGGAUGAGUACUGUGAAGGUAGAUUUAUUAGUGAGAAAAUAAAAAAAGAAAAAAACCAAAAACAUUUCUCUUGUUUUAGGAGUGCAGAAAAUAAAAUAUGUCAAGGUAUCCAAAAUAUCUUUGUUUCAAGGACAUAUAUAUUGGAAUGAUAAUAUUCAAGGAUUUUUAUUAUUUGUGAGUGAGUCAGAAAUCCCAUUAUUUUAUGAUAUCUCUAACUAGUAAUUCAUCUGACAUUUGAGCCUAUAGGAUGCAAUCCUCUGUAAUUAUUAAGAAGUCACUUAGAUCAUAGUCCACAAACCCACAAACCUUAGUCUGUGUGGAAAAAUACUAUCAUUCUAUAGAAUAAAUUUCAGUGAAAUUUCUAAAUGGGGCUACUUGGGUGAGAAAAUGAUCACAAGACAUGUGACACUUGAUGGAAAUGUGAUUCUAGAAAAAGCCAGGAAUUUGUAAAUUAAUGUUCAUAUUUGGGAAUAUCUCAAGAUAGGUUUCUAAUGAUCUUUUUACACAGUGAAUUAUAUGAUAUGGUAUCCAAAGAGAUGUAGUGUUAUUUAUAUAUCUGCUAGACCUUUGUCAUGGUGCAAGACUACAUUCUCCAUAAUCAAGCUCACUGUAGAGAAUAAUUCUCAUAUUCAUGAGUUGUUCAUCUCAUCUUGUUGCCAGUGGUUAUUUCAAGGUUAAUUUUUUUCAGACAGUGUCUCUCUUGAUUAAGGUCUGUAGUAACUGUAUAUGUGCUGCUAUAGCAUAUGAAGGUUUUAAACUUGAAGACAUAUUUGAUUUCAUAUCAAUUCAAGAUCAAAUGCUUAUCAAUGCCUCCUGCUUAAAGACACAAAAAGUAAUUUUAUUGUUAAUUUUUUAUUUCUACUAGGAAUGUGGAGACUUGUGUUUGACAUUUUCACAAUCCUCUAAACACUUUUAUAGGUUAUGAUGAAAAAGUAUAUUCCAUUACCAGGAAUAUGUUUCUUAGAUUUUACUGAUUGUUUAAAUAUUGAAAUAUUUUAUACCUUACCUAAUUGGAUUUCGGAGGCCACUAUCAUGGAAUCCUUACCUCAGACUUAUCCUGAUCAAACAACUGAAGAGUUAACACCCAGCAGCACCAAAUCUCUCCUUUGGCAUAUGCUGUGAUCCAUUCUGAUGUACCUUGAACAUUUUAUAGCUACUAAACAUUAUGAAUAUUACCCUUACACAUUAACAAAAGAUUUGUCGUGUUUUAAAAUAGUAGAAAUAUGAAUAAUGUCAUACUAACUUUGUAACACUUUAAACAGUUUAAGGAAUGCAUGUAUCUAUGUUAAGCAUACACAGCGUAGAUACUUAUUGAAGUUUCAAAGGACAUGAUUUAAAUAAUGUUACAGGUCCAUAGGCUGAAAAUCAGAUGAGUGAGAGAAACCAAAAGACCCCAGUUUGGAUAUGUAUUUACAAAAGAAUUAUGUCACAGUACUUCUUUUGAAGAAUGAUUGAAGAAGUAAAGGCCUGGAGAAGAAGAGUCUUGGGGUGAGACAUAACUGUCUUCCAUAGUUGGAGGGCUGUUACAUAUAAGAGGGAUUAGCACUGUUCUCUGUAGCCUUGGAGAACAGAAACAUUGACAGCUGUUUGAAAUUGUAAGGCAUCCGAUUUCAGUUGAAACCAUCAAGGGGUUUCCAAUAGCUAGAGCUUCCCAGAGCUGGAGUGGCCUGUCCCAGAAGGCAGUGUGUUCCUUCAUGUGUGGGGUGGUAAGCUCUGAUCUAACCUCUUCUGUGACUCUAAGGAGUGAAUGAGGCAGCUGAGGAACAACUGGUCAGCGGUGUUGGGUUGGGCUCCAUGACUUCUGAGAGCCCUUCCUUCCUGAGCCUCUGUCACAUGCACAUCAAGGCCACAUAUGCUUUCUGAAUCACUGAAAAAAUAAAGGUGAAACACAAAUUCCAUGUUGUCAUGGCUAGGCUUCCCAACCAGUUGAUUUUCACCAUCUUGCCUGCUCUGUACACUAGAGGAUUUGUAUUUUUCAAAGAGUUUUUUUUUAAUUGUCAAAUAUUUUGUUCUUAUUGUUUACUUGACAGUUUAAUUUAAAACAUUCACAUCCAUCUGAUGUAAUGCAUAAUCACCAAUUCAUUCUUAAUUAAAAAAUUUAGAACAAAAGUAUAUGAGCUUUACACACACACACACACACACACAAACACACAAACACACACACACUUCAUUGUGUUUCUGAGUUUAUGAUAGCAAGUACUUGUAAAUCUGGCUCUAACUAAACAGGAAGCAGAAAUAUAUAGGAAGGUGGGGACAUAGGCAGAGGAGGGAAUUUAAAAAAUCCAGCCUGCAGUUGUGAGUGGGAGGGAAAUCACAGCAAAUGAAGAACUUUCCUAAAUGGAUUGAAAAUCAAACGAAUAUAAAAAGAUAAAGGUACAUAUGCAUGCCUGACUUAAUUACAAAUGUAAUAGAAGUCUGUUAUUUAGAAAUACUUCAAGAGUUUUGACAUUUCAAUCUUUUACUGCCACUUCUGGGUCUCUACUGUCAGAUAAACUUUGAACACAAUGUUUUGCUGUUUUCUUUUGUCUCUUUUCUUUUAAAAUACUUUAAGUUUCCCUUGUAUAAACAUGGCAUUUCUGUUACAUACUGUCUUCUGCUUUGGUUUUUCUGAUGUACCACGUCUCCUCAUAUCCGUGUCUAUAUUAAUUUCGUUGCCUCUUCAAACUCCUUAACUUUAUCUAUACUUCAAUGCAUUACCUCCAGUGCUCCUUAUAACCUGCAGAGUAGAGGGGUAUGAAUCCUCUUUCAUGGAUAAAGAAACUGAGACUUAGAAGUACAUAUUUGGCCAAAUCACACAGCUACUUCUCAGCAUAGGAAAUAUUCUGAUGAUCAGUUUGACUGUUGUUUGUUUUACAUCAGAUAUAUUUUGGUUCUAUGUCCUUAAAGGCAAAGAUGAAGACAUCCCUCUAAAUAAGAGAAAGGUCUUUUGGAGCUCCUACCUAAGCUCAUCCUCUUCACGACAUUUGGCUGAGUUAUGAGAUCUCUUCAGUUGUCUCAUCUCUCUUAGACUAUUUUGAGCUCUUGCCCCACUAUAGAGCUCUCAUCCUUCCUGUUUCUUCCAUUUGGAUAUGCCAUGGUGUCUUCAACUCAAACUAUCCAACAUUUUCCUCUUGGCUUUCACAAUUUAAUGUGCUUUUCUUAUCUUAAUUGGUAUUCACUUCUGUAAACCCCAAAUUAAUGGCACACACCUGUUCAGGUGGCCAAUCAGCAAUGCCUAAGCUCCUAGUAAUUCCAAAUAUCAAUACUGUAUAUAUGAAAAUAAACUGAAACUCCCCAAAAGUAUCUUAAGUCUGAGAUCAUGGACUUUACCUUUCUCAUAAUUUGAACAUGAAUUUGUGUCCUCUAUGUUUAUAAACAGGAGAUGGAAUAAUGGUUUGCAGAAUAAUUCUAUACCUGUACUGGCGUGAGCAGUGAAAGUGGGUUCUUUGGGGAAGAAUUUGACUCUCUCUGAGGAACAGUUUUCUCAAAUCAUUUUUCCUUCAUAUUCUGUUUUUAUAGUUUCAGUAUUAAAAAAAAACUGUAGAGAGACAGUUUUGUUCCAAAGAUUUAUGUUUACCUGGCAAACUCAGAUCCUGUCCUUUCAUGCUUAUUGUUUUUUAAAGUGCCUUCAAGAGAAAAUGGUUUUAAUCAAAUUCAUGAGAUAACUUUUUAUGUUAUAUUUUAUAGGCAUUUAAACUUUUCAAGAUAGGACCAACUAAUAUAAUGUAUGGUUGAAUGUAUUUUUGGAAAAAAUUCUGCAUGCCAGAGCUGAACGUAUUUCUGGAAACAUUUCUGCAUGCUAGAGAAAACCUGAAGAUCUAUGUACAAACGGUGAACAGAUUUUGCCACAUAGAAUAUAAUCAGUAAAUUGUUGUGAUUAUUAAAUGUUUUCCUGUAUUAUGUUUUUUACACAUUUAUUUAGACAGUUAAGGAAUUGGGUAAAGGCUGUGUGUGACAUUGUGAUGAUUUUAGUUCACAGAGCUCUUCCAUAGUACCUACUUGCUGAUUCGUAUUCUUGUACUGAAAAUCUUACAAGCUUAGAGGUAUCCCUAAUGGGAAUGAAGUUACAGCUCUUCUAAUGUUGCCUGCUUGCUUUUCCAGAACAACCUCACAAUCCCUAUAGCUAGUGAAUCAGGUUUUUUAAAAAGUUGUUUUUCCUAUUUACCAAUGUGGAAACCUUCCAGGAUGCUGUGAAUUGCUCAUUUGACAAAACGUAAACAUGAGUUUAAAAAACAGGAUAUUAUCCUUAGCCCAAGAGGUAGGUACAGAUUUUGAGUAUGAGCUCCACUACUUGUCAUUAUCUUAUUCAGCUGACAGGUGGUGCUCCAGAACAGUAUGGGCAGUGAGAAUGUAUGAUUAGAUUCCUAUCAGAAUUUUUGAGCAAAUCAGGUGCUGAACUCUUAAAGACCCCUUAACAUAUAGUUGAAUUACUAUACAUUUUAGAUGGAAGGAUAGUAACCCAACAAAAUCACCGUCACAUGGAAAACUUUCUUAAAUUUUUAAAGUUGCAGUCAUUGACCUUGACGGAUCUCAAGAUUUCACAUAGCUUCAACAAUCUGUCUUACUUUAAUGCAAAUGAAUAAUUUGGGAUAUUGAACUACAAAGAAUGUCAUUUUCCCCAGAUUCCUCUGUUGAUUCUGUUAUUGUUGUUAUUAUGAUAUUCUAUUAAUUUAGAAAAGUUUUUAACAACAUAGUUUAACACAAAGAUGUAUAAGAAUGUAUUAAUCUAAUCAGGAUGUCCUGAUUUAUUUAAAAUGAAGCUAUACAAGUUGACCAAACUCUUAUGAAUGCACUUCAUUAGUGACAAUAAUUGUUAACUAUGGUAACCCUUCACUGGAUACUUGGUGGUGUGAUUUAGAUUAGUCCUGUUCUGUGAUGAGGGUAUCGAGGUAAGAGAGUAAUGCAUUCAAGGUUUGAGUUUAAAGAAAGACAGUAGACAAUAGAGUUUAUGAGAGAAGCAGGGCUACUGAGCAGGGUAAGCUAGACUGCUUAGGUGAAAUGGCAACCCUAUAGCAUUUAGUCUGCCUUUCUUUCCUUUAUCUCAGUUCAUGCUGGCUUCUGUUGUAGAUUCUGUUGUCUUCCACCCUUGAGUGGUCCUAAGUGCACCUAUGAAUCAGGAACCAACUCCUGCUCCCACAGAGCAUUCUUAGUUUUUCUCUUCUGGUGAAUUUGCUACUUAAUAACCAAUCCAGAGAGUGUCUUUCCACACCCUCUGUAUUGCUAUCAGUUUUGUUAUUAAUUUUGUCUUUCUGAUUUAAAACACACCAUUGCAAUUUUCAAGUUCUGUUGUGUGUGUUAGAGUUCCAUGUAUUUAUGAAAUAACACUUUGCCCCAGCCCCUACCAUUAACUAGUAAAGCUGCUUUCUUCUUUACUACUGAUACAUGUUGGAGAAUUUGCCAUGAUUCUAAUGUGUCACUGAUUUCUUCCAAGUAGUGAUUUGAUAUUCAUACCACUCUGUGUGAAGCACUUUGGAUUGUUAAUUUUUAAUUUCUAUCAGGACAGGAUUCUGUUAACAGCUGAAAGUAGUUUGGGCAUGGCCCUCACAGCAUGGAAAACAAAGUUGCCAUGGUGGUAUCUAACAUCCUAACCGGAAGACAAAAGAGAAAGAAAUAACUGAGCUCUAUUUCCAUGGCUGGAGGGAGAAGAAGAAAGAAGAGAAGGAAAGAAAAAAACUGACAUUGGUUUGCAGUCACUCUCAGGCUAACAAGGGGGAGUUACAUGGACAAUUUUUACUGCGUUGCAUUUACUGCUCAACACAUUGCAAGUAACCUCUUGUACUCUAAUCAUUGGGAUAGUCGUUGAUGAUAAUGAAGUGACGGCAAUAAACAGUCUUUUGACGUUUUCCUGAA